AUUGAACGCUGGCGGCAGGCCUAACACAUGCAAGUCGAGCGGAUGAAGGGAGCUUGCUCCUGGAUUCAGCGGCGGACGGGUGAGUAAUGCCUAGGAAUCUGCCUGGUAGUGGGGGAUAACGUCCGGAAACGGGCGCUAAUACCGCAUACGUCCUGAGGGAGAAAGUGGGGGAUCUUCGGACCUCUCGCUAUCAGAUGAGCCUAGGUCGGAUUAGCUAGUUGGUGGGGUAAAGGCCUACCAAGGCGACGAUCCGUAACUGGUCUGAGAGGAUGAUCAGUCACACUGGAACUGAGACACGGUCCAGACUCCUACGGGAGGCAGCAGUGGAGAAUAUUGGACAAAGGGCGAAAGCCUGAUCCAGCCAUGCCGCGUGUGUGAAGAAGGUCUUCGGAUUGUAAAGCACUUUAAGUUGGGAGGAAGGGCAGUAAGUUAAUACCUUGCUGUUUUGACGUUACCAACAGAAUAAGCACCGGCUAACUUCGUG
rnacentral:rRNA from 1 species